AUUCGCAGGGUACAAAAAGUUACAAAACCAUUCACUCCGGAUGAGCUUUGGGAUGAUGGAAUGGCAAAGAUGUAAUUUCCCUUUUUUACCCAUGGAUUUGUGACUCCAGAUUUAGCUCAAGGAGUGGCACGUGAAAAAACUCCAAGCCUGGAGAUAAGAGGAGCAUCUGUAUUAAAAACUGACCGGACUCCACAAGAGCUUCUGCAGGUCAUCGUGGAGCCCCCUCUGGCAAUCCCUGGGCUGAGGAGCCUCAACUCUCGUUCAGAAUGUGACGCGGAGAGUGGACGAUGCCCAUGACUGAUCUAGAGACCUUUGACAUGAUGUCCAAGGAAAUAAAUGACAAACAGGAUGCAAGACUGAAUGACAGAAUGAUUAAGCUUAGAAUUGAUUGCAAAGCAGUCUUAUGUUAUGAGGCCGCUGAUUUGAAGACCAUGGA